ACUCAAUAGAUACCCUGGUAGUCCACGCCGUAAACGAUGAUGACUAGCUGUCUGGGCGCUUAGCGUUCAGGUGGCGCAGCUAACGCGUUAAGUCAUCCGCCUGGGGAGUACGGCCGCAAGGUUAAAACUCAAAGAAAUUGACGGGGGCCUGCACAAGCGGUGGAGCAUGUGGUUUAAUUCGAAGCAACGCGCAGAACCUUACCAGCGUUUGACAUGGUAGGACGGUUUCCAGAGAUGGAUUCCUUUCCUUACGGGACCUACACACAGGUGCUGCAUGGCUGUCGUCAGCUCGUGUCGUGAGAU
rnacentral:rRNA from 1 species